AGCACACGAGCAUCUCCUCUCUCUCUCCCCGACCUCUCCUCUUAUCCGACCUGGCUGUGUUACCCUCACCCUAGUGCGCCGCCGCCCCCAGCCACUACCGGCGCAAACAUCAAGCCACGACUCAAUCUCUCGAUCUCGGCCACCGCAAGGCAUAGGCAUCGAACGGGGGGCAAUGAAUUUACUUCAAACUUGCUCCAUGUUAUAGGCAUCGGGUUGCCGUCGUGGCCCGCCGGCUGCCGGACGGUCGGAGCAUCCCAAUCUCGUAAGACGAGUUAUGGAGGGGAUGACCUUAAACGGCCAUCGACGCGUUCUACCCACUGGCCAAUUUGGUUGGGAUGAACAAGGGCUGGUCCUCCAGCACUCGCAAUUCUGCUUGCCCCGUUCAGCGUCAAGGAGAGGGGAGAGACAUACGGGCUGGGAGUUCUGGAUUUGAUGUCGUCACACUGAUCAAUUCCACCAUGCCAGACGAGAAUCAUGUCGCCAUCGAUGCCUUCCACAGUCCAGAAGGACUCUAGGAACAGCACCUCGGCUGGCUCGCCAUGUCUCCCAGUGGUUCGCCUUGUGCCUCCGGCAGACCAUUAGGACCUAAGGAAGAGCACCUCGCCUGACUCGCCAUGUGUCCCGGUGGCCCUUACCUCUGCACUGGCAUAUGGUGGUCUCUUCCUUCUUGAUGUUCAAUUCAUAAGCAUGAUCAUGUUGUGUGAUAGCGUGUACAUUUGCUCGGAAGAAAUAGGUGUCUGCUUAUUUCCUUUGUUUAGGUGUUCUUCUUUGUUUUGUUACUCCUACAUCCAUAUGCCACCAAGAGAUUACGCUAUAUGCUGGCUAUGGGACAGGUAGUUAGUUCACGUGGACUGCCAUACCCCAUACCUUCAUGUUUUAGUAUCUAUAUAUGCAUUAAGGAUAUACAAUUGUUCACUUUGUGUUUCUCUAUCA